AGGUUGGAUAAAUGGCUUGCAAAAGGUAGCCUAUACAGCACUAGAUAGAAGUGAAGAUGAGUGACAGAGUCACAGUUUUGAAUCACUGUCCGGAGACCUGAUGUGGAUUCUUAUGAAUUGGUAGUGGAUCCCUGCCUCUUUGUGGUCUGUUCACAUCUGUCCAGAGAGCAGAGCAGGAAAGCUUCAGCCAACAAUGCCAAUACAACCCUAUAAAGAUUAAUAGGGUACCUGAAAAGCAACAAGGACUUUGAGUGAUUUCAAGGAUUCCAAAGACUCAAGAAAUCAAUUUCGGAAAUAUAGUUCAUCAGCAUUAGCAAGAUCAUUAUCCACAUCUCAUUUCUAGUGUGCCAAACAAUUUACACAUACUGGAAUACCAGAGAAGCAAGCCAAUGAAGAAGAUUGAAGAUUGAGUGAUCUGAUAUACACUAUUGGACAUCAGAUGGUACAAAUCAGAUGUGUAUCAACAAGUAGCAGCACUGAUAUUGCAUUAUUUCAUAUGGAGAAAAAAGGUGUUUCCAUCCCAUGGUUUUUGCCCUGGACCACCCUCAGUCAUGACCCUUGGGAAUUGGGACUGGGAUCUUUAAGACCCUCUCUUCAUCAAUCUUCAUCUUCUUCAGGAUACAGGGGGCAGAUGUCUCUGGAAUUAGACCAACACAUUCAUCCAGAAAACAAACUAACAUCAGACCAGCAUAAAUUACUAGACAGCAGUUCCAGAUUUGUUAGGAAGGGCAGUUACCUACACACGCACAUAAAAAAAUUAAAAAAAUCAGAUUUGCUUUUUCUAUUUUUUUUUGCUUUGGA